rnacentral:rRNA from 1 species
UACAGAGGUCUCAAGCGUUGUUCGGAUUCAUUGGGCGUAAAGGGCGCGUAGGCGGCGGGGUAAGUCGGGUGUGAAAUCUCAGAGCUCAACUCUGAAAUGGCACUUGAUACUGCUCUGCUAGAGGACUGGAGAGGAGAUUGGAAUUCACGGUGUAGCAGUGAAAUGCAUAGAUAUCGUGAGGAAGACCGGUGGCGAAGGCGGAUCUCUGGACAGUUCCUGACGCUGAGGCGCGAAGGCCAGGGGAGCAAACGGG